GUAAGGUGAUAUGAACCGUUAUAACCGGCGAUUUCCGAAUGGGGAAACCCAGUGUGACUCGUCACACUAUCAUUAACUGAAUCCAUAGGUUAAUGAGGCGAACCGGGGGAACUGAAACAUCUAAGUACCCCGAGGAAAAGAAAUCAACCGAGAUUCCCCCAGUAGCGGCGAGCGAACGGGGAGGAGCCCAGAGCCUGAAUCAGCAUGUGUGUUAGUGGAAGCGUCUGGAAAGGCGCGCGAUACAGGGUGACAGCCCCGUACACAAAAGCGCAUGUGCUGUGAGCUCGAUGAGUAGGGCGGGACACGUGGUAUCCUGUCUGAAUAUGGGGGGACCAUCCUCCAAGGCUAAAUACUCCUGACUGACCGAUAGUGAACCAGUACCGUGAGGGAAAGGCGAAAAGAACCCCGGCGAGGGGAGUGAAAAAGAACCUGAAACCGU
rnacentral:rRNA from 2 species